rnacentral:rRNA from 1 species
GACGAACGCUGGCGGCGUGCUUAACACAUGCAAGUCGAACGGAAAGGCCCUGCUUUUGUGGGGUGCUCGAGUGGCGAACGGGUGAGUAACACGUGAGUAACCUGCCCUUGACUUUGGGAUAACUUCAGGAAACUGUGGCUAAUACCGGAUAGGAGCUCCUGCUGCAUGGUGGGGGUUGGAAAGUUUCGGCGGUUGGGGAUGGACUCGCGGCUUAUCAGCUUGUUGGUGGGGUAGUGGCUUACCAAGGCUUUGACGGGUAGCCGGCCUGAGAGGGUGACCGGCCACAUUGGGACUGAGAUACGGCCCAGACUCCUACGGGAGGCAGCAGUGGGGAAUAUUGCACAAUGGGCGGAAGCCUGAUGCAGCAACGCCGCGUGCGGGAUGACGGCCUUCGGGUUGUAAACCGCUUUCGCCUGUGACGAAGCGUGAGUGACGGUAAUGGGUAAAGAAGCACAGGCUAACUACGUG